GAUGAACGCUGGCGGCGUGCCUAAUACAUGCAAGUCGAGCGAACAGACGAGGAGCUUGCUCCUCUGACGUUAGCGGCGGACGGGUGAGUAACACGUGGAUAACCUACCUAUAAGACUGGGAUAACUUCGGGAAACCGGAGCUAAUACCGGAUAAUAUAUUGAACCGCAUGGUUCAAUAGUGAAAGACGGUUUUGCUGUCACUUAUAGAUGGAUCCGCGCCGCAUUAGCUAGUUGGUAAGGUAACGGCUUACCAAGGCAACGAUGCGUAGCCGACCUGAGAGGGUGGGCGGCCACAGUGGAACUGAGCCACGGUCCAGACUCCUACGGGAGGCAGCAGUAGGGAGUCUUCCGCAAUGGGCGAAAGCCUGACGGAUCAACGCAGCGGGAGUGAUGAAGGUCUUCGGAUCGUAAAACUCUGUUAUUAGGGAAGAACAAAUGUGUAAGUAACUAUGCACGUCUUGACGGUGCCUAAUCAGAAAGCCACGGCUAACUACGUG
rnacentral:rRNA from 1 species